CAGAAGGUCGCUGGUUCGAUUCCAGCAUGAGGCACCAAAACUUUUUGAAGGAACUGAACCUAUGUUGUUGUUGGAACUCGAAAUACUUUUUGGGACUUUCUGA
rnacentral:miRNA from 1 species